GAGCCACAGUGUCAAGCGCCAUAAUCACAAAGCAUACGUAACAAGUGCUAGGCUUCUUGAGGUAGAAUAAAAGCUCUUAAAAGAGUCACAGAUUUGACAGUAAAUUUUGUUAGUACUAAGAAAUCUAGGGCCAUAAGUGGACCACCAGAGAAAAUGGGUAGUGUCCCCAUAGAGAUGUAGUUCCUCAUUACAAAAAAAGAAACCAUGCUGACCUCCCACUUUUGUUGUUUACCACAUGCACUUCUAGGCAAGAAAGAAUGGUGAUGAUAAAGAGAGGGAUGAGCUCAUCAAGUACCAACACAGGUGUGAUUCUAAAGGAAAUUGCUGGGAGCUGUGCUAACCUCAGGAAUGCAGAGAUCUAGGGCACAGGAAAUAUAAACUUGGUGGAAACAGGUAUGAACAACAAAUCCUAAUAGAAAUACUAUACUGAUUCCAUAUACAUAUUUGUUGAGAAAAUAGAUCUCUCCAUUCAAGAAUGAGUGCUAACCAGAAUAGAAGAAAUAAAACUGUUAGCAGGAAGCACUUGAGCUGCUAAGCUAAAUCCCCAGCCUUAUAAAACAUUAUUGAGAGGAACUAAGAAAUCUAAACAAAUGAAAAGGUUUACCAUUGAAGACAAUGUUGUAAAAACACCAAUUUGCCAUAACUUAAACUACAAAUUCAGUGAAAUUGCUGUCAAAAAUUCUGCAGUUUUUUUCCCCCAGAAAACAGUGAACCGGUGCUAGAAUUUAUAUGGCAAUGCAAAAUAUCAAAAAGGAUCCAAGGUAAUUUUGAAGAAGGAAAACAAAGCUGGAAGAGACUUAUACCACUAGAUAUGAAGAGCUGUUAUACAACUAUGGUAAUUAAGACAUUGAGUAAGAAUAAACAAACAGAAAAAUGAAACAUAACCCAGAAUUGAGAGGCAGAUCCUCAUAUGUAUAAUAAUCUGAUUUAUGACCAAGGCAUCAUUGCAGUACAUAGGAGGAUGUUGAGCCAGUUGAAUGUUCAUAUGGAAAAAUGUUUAUUGACUCCUACCUCACACUAUACAAAAAUAAUUCCAGAUGUAUUUCAGGUAUAGAUAUAAGAGACAAAACAAGAACAUCUUUGUGCCAGAGUUUUCAAAUAUUUCUUAAAUAAGAUAAAAGCAGUUUUAAAACAAAACCGAUAAACUGGAUGAUAUUAAACUUAACAUUAUGUUUUUUUUAAAAGAUACCACUGAAGGAUAGAAAAGGUAAGUGACUGGUGGAGAGGAAGAAAAUAUUCAUAGCGUAAGUAUUUGUCAAAAGAUUCACAUAUAGUAUAAAUAAAGACAAGGGCAAAUGAAUUAAUAGAAACAUAGCCAAAAACAUAAUCAAUACAUCAUAAAAUGAUUAGCCAAUGGCAAAUGAACAUAGGAGAAGGUACUUGAUUUUAUUAGUCAUUGGGCAAAAUAAAUCAAAGCACCACCACUACAAACCCAUGAGAGGGCCUAAAAUGCAAAAAAAGGAGUUGAGAAACUGGAACUUUCAUGCACUAUUGGUAGGAAUGUAAAUGUGUAAAAGCAAUUUGGUGGUAUCUGUUAAAGUUGAACAUAUACAUAUUCUAUGAUUUUACUACUUCAUUCCUAGAUGCAUACUCAAUAUAUUCUCAUGUUUAUUAAAAGACAUCUAGUAGCUGUUUCUGGGCACACUAGGUGUAAUUACUAAAACACUAAAAUUCUAAAUGUUCACAGCCAGUAUAAUGCAUCUAUAAAUUGUAGUACAGUCACAAAGUUGACUGCUAUGCAAUUGUCAGAAUGAGCAGUCCAUGAUUAUACCUCAAAAUAAGAAUGUUUCACAUAAACAUAAUUUAAUGUUGACUGGAAAAGCCUAGAUGCACAAAAAAUUAAAUACUUUAUGAUCCCAGCAGAGCUGCUGACCAGUUGAUCAGCCUCAUUGUAGACAAGGCCAAUGCCCAGGGACAGAAGGUAAGCCCAGAGGGUCACCAGACAAAAUGAGAAAGUAUGGACAUGGCCAGCAGUGCUAACCUCAAGAAAAUCCCAUAUGUACUAUUAACUAUAAAAACAGUGUGGGGUUUACACUGAAAGAGACUCCUUCACGGUGGGUAGAAUUGGAAAAGAAGCCAGUAGAAUGCCUGCCGUAUUACUAGAGAGUGUUUCACUGGGUGACACUUUGGGAAAGAGUUAAUUAUUUAAGACCGAGCCACAGAACAACUGUAGAACAAUUCCACUUCAUGGUUUACUGUGUUAUCUUCUCACAAUGACUGAGUGAGAGACAACCAUGGGAGACAGCUGUGGAAAGGGUAUGGGCUAGACAUAGAACUCCUGAAAAGUUUAUGUUCAUGCCAGGAAGGACAUAAGCUCUCCCUUCUGUAUUGAGAAACCAGGCCUGACCAAUGUGGCUGUCCAAGGAGCAGGAUCUGAAAGGGCUGAUAUUAUGUCCACUAGUCUACUUUUAAUUCCUGGCAUGUGGCCUACAUCCAGAAGAUAACAGUAGACUGAUUACUUCCCUUUCCACCAACAUGAGUAAGAAUACUUCUUGCCUUGGACAGUUGCCACAAUCUAGGGUAUACAGAUGGAGGACACACAGCAGAAGAGGGGACACCUCACAAACCCACAGGUGAUAAAGGUGGAGAAAUUGUGACUUGCUAGAUUCCAACAUAGCAGACACUAGGAAAAAAACACUCAGUCAAAAUUAUAGAAGAUUUUUUUGGGAGGAUUCAAAUUUUUAUAUUUUUUCCUUCUUUUACCUUCAUUGGUUUCUGGGGGUUUGGAGUAUUUUCUCCUUUUCUGUCUUUUCUCCUUUUAACUCUUUUCCUUCUUUCUUAUUUUUCUUUUUCUUGUUUAUUCAUUUCUGUUAUUUUGAUUUUAUACUAUUAUUUCCUUUUAUUCCUCAAUAGGAUCCUUUAUCUGACUUUGUUCUCCACUGUCUCGUCUCCCAUAAUUAAUUUUUCAAAAUUUACUUUACUUAUUUUCUGUUUCUCCACCCCUCUAUCUUUGCUAAAAUAACCAUUAGGCAUUACAAAUGCAAAUUAAAACAGCUAUGAAAAUUCAUCUUACUCCUGAAAGAAUGAUUAUUAUCAAGAAAUCAAAUAGUAACAAAUCCUGGCAAGGUUGCAAGGAAAAAGAAACACUUCUACACUGUAGGGAGGAAUAUAAAGUAAGAUAACCAUUAUUGGAGUCCAUAUGGAGAUUCCUCAGAACACUAAAACUAGAAAUUCCCUUCAAUCAAGUUACUCCUCUUUUAGGUAUCUUCCUGAAAUAGUUAAAGACAUCACACUACAGUGAUACAUGAAUAUGUAUGUUUAUAGCAGCACAACCCCUAAUAACCAAAUCUUAGAAGCAGCUUAUAUGUCUAUCAACAGAAGACUGGAUAAAGAAAAUAUGAUGUUUAUACACAAUGGGGUAGUACUUUGUCAUAAAGAAGAAUAAACUUGAAUUGUUUGUAGGAAAAUGGGUGUACUAUCAGAUCACAAUAUUAGGUGAAAUAAAUCAGACACACAAGUUUAAAUAUGACAUGGUUUCUCUCAAUGAGAAGCUCAAAAUAUAAACAAAGAAUAAAGUAAAAAUAAGUAAUAGGAAACAGGGGAAUAAAACUUUUACAAAAGGGAAAAGAACUAAGAAAUGCAGGGGUAGGGAGAGGAGGGAAAGCAGAUGAAAAAAGGAAUUGUAUGUGUUAUAUGCACACACCAACAUCCCAUGAAGAAUGUAAUCAGUAUGUACUGCAAGCAUGUACUAAUAAAAAAUAAAAAUUAUUUUAAAAAUUUGAAGCUUUGUCCAUGGUAGAUUACCUCCAAGAGCCCUCUGGACCUGUGCAGAGGUCAUGUCCUUAGAUGGGGUCUGUAGCACUUUAUAUCAACUUUGCUUAUUAAUAUUCUCUGUGUAGAUCUUAUGAACAUUUGAGUUUGUGUUUCUAGGAACGAAAACAGUUCUUUCUACUGGUUCACUACUGGUUCAUUAGCUCAAGUCUGAGUCCUUAGAAUGGAGAUCAUUUUCUUCCCUGUGUACUUUCCUCUAACUCCUAUUGUCCUCUAUGACCAAACUCUACUUUCACUGUAACUGUACCUCAGUAUACGCUCCGGGCAUGUUGCCCUGAAGCCUUCUCUUCCUGCCUGUGCUGACACUCAUCUGACUAUGUCUGUCCUUACCCCACCCCAGUUCCUUUUUCUGCCCCACUUAUCCACAUCCCUAUUCUAUUAAUCCUUCUGUCCACUGAUUCAGCAAACAUUUAUCGAGGACCUAUCAUGUGCCAGACUCUGUAUCAGGAGUCAGUGAAUGAAGGAUAAUCUUUAUUCCUGAAAGGCCUGUCCUCUGAGGGCAAGGAAAGACAACCUGGGAAAGUCAUUUUACAGGGAAAACAUUAUAAGAAUCUGGCACAUCUGAGACAAUUCUGUCUGAGAAGAGAGUGUAGGGCUUCUGCAGUGUUCUUGUGGAAGAGAUGAUUUGGGAGUUACAUUCUGAAGUGUUAGCUAUUUGGAUUUGGAUAAACUGAGAAUAGCAAUAAUUAUUCCACACAAAGACUGGACUCUGUUUCAAUAAUAGAAGGUACUUCAGUGUGGCUGGAUAAAAAGGGGAACAGUGGAAAGUAAAGGUGAAAAAUGAAGCUGGGGUCAGGACUUCAUUAAAUAAGUAGAGUUAACAAUUGAGUACUGGAGGGAUAAACAAUCUGUGUUAUCUAUGCUCAUUUCUCCAUUCUCUUUAACCCCUGUUAAGCUUUGCUAACAUUACUGCCAAAUUUCAUUCCCUAAUGUUGAUAAUUUCCUCCAAGCAGCAUAGCAGAGCCUGGGUUCCAGGAAUAUGGUCACCACCUACUGCUUUCUUCCCUGCUCAUUUGCUGCCACAAAGGUUUUCAAAGAGUGUCAGAGGAUACAGAAGGAUUGACCUGUUUUGAAGAAGCCAUGUUCAUUUCACUGGGGCAGUGACAGUAAAGAUCCAGAAGAAAAGUAAUUCCUGGUUGAAAUCAGUUCUGGCACUUGAACUGCAGGUCACUGAGUUUUCCACUGGAGACCGUCUAGCCAUCUGGAGGGGAAUGCAAGUCAUGAGGUGCACAGUGAUACCUAAAACCAACUAUUUUCAUGCUCUCAUGGGUUUGUCUCAAUCUAAAUCCAAUAGUUUGACCUUUCUGCCCCACCCUCAUUCUUCACACAUAUACUAAAGAAAUUUCAAAUGCAUGCCCUUACUUUCUGAAUGGCAUAAUUGCACCAAGGAUAAUUUCGAAUGACAGAAUUAUUUCUUUUGAGAACCACCUAACAAUGAAAAAUAGCAGUAUCAAAUAACCUGCAGUUUUUUAUUGGUAAAAGAAAAAGGUCCAAAGCAACUUCAGAUUCUGAAAUUGUUUAAGAGAUUGGCCAAGAAACAGGGAAAACUGUGAAACACUUACAGCUGUCUGUCACUCAGAUGGUGCCUCCUCAUCCUCACACGAAUGACCUUCAUAUUCUGCUCCUUCUCCUUGUAACCUGUGCUCUUCCACUACUCUCUAUUUCUGUUUUCUCUUUCAGACCUAUUUUUUUCUCCUAGUUGGAACUCUAAGAACUCAAUUACUUCUAAAUGUUAAACUACUUUUAGAAAAAGAAAAACAACAACAAAAACAACCUCCCCAAAACAAAACAACAAGCUAGAAAACCUCCUUUAAAUUCUUGAUCUUAUUCAGAGCUGAGAGCCAUUAAAAAGAUUUUCCAAAGUCUAGACUAGAUGAAUUUAAAGUAGUUUUAAUUAUGUGUAUUGUGGAGCUCCCAAAUCUGUACCCAAGUUCUGGGAAUCUCAUAUACAAGAAAAAAUGGACGGAGAAGGUAGAAUGAGAAGAUGUUAAGGGCGAUUUAAAAGACUCAGAGUUAUGUCAGAAGCUCUGAUCCAGUCAUAAAAUAAAGGGUGAGUGCAUCUGAGACUUCAAAGAUUAAGUCUUUAAUGCUUUUUGACAGCAUUCAGGACUAGAUCGUGAGGCAGAGGUGACUCCAGUUCUCUCCUUACUUUUUGUGAAUGGCUUUAAAAUACAAACGGGAGUCUUAUUAAAUGACAAGCACAAUCUAGAAUGAUAAAGUUUUAUUGCAAGACCUCCAACAUCUCACUGGAUGUUAAAAAAAAGUCUUAGAAUGAAAACAAUAAAAAUUGGAUGUGUAGUGAUUUCUGAUGCUGUGCUAAUCUGUAUGUUGGACUUUUGCCUCACUGAUGACAUCCGACUACACUUGUAAGAGGAGGCCAUUGUUGUUUCAUCUUUUCCUCUAUCCCUCCUUCCACCUUCUACUUCACAGCUCCAUUUUACUUUUAUAUUUUCUCAAGGCUUGUAAUAUUUACAAUCUAUUCUGUAAUGUUAUGUUUCUACUUUGGAACCAGAAUCCCCUAAAACUGUAAAUCCAGUUAAAUCUCUCCUUUUAAUUGUGGGUGUUGGGUACUGUGUCUCAGCAAUAGGAAAGCUUACUUAUACAUGGUCCUUUGGAAACAGUAAGAGUAAGCAUAUAUCUAAGAUUUUGGCUGACGAGGUGUUUUUUGAUUUAAGUCCAGGUGAGUGCAGCUGUGAGUGGAUCUCCUUUCCUCAACUUUCUCAUUUUCUGUGGUUGAGAAUUUCCAGGAAUGAGAAGGAAGGCCUAGAGAAUAGAUCUUAUUUUAUUUAUUUAUUUAGGUCUUUUUUCAUUUUUAUCGGUACCAGGGAUCGAACUCACGACUGCCUGCUUGCAAGGCAGGCGCUUAUGCCGCUGAACUAAAUCCCCAGCCUAAAGAGAAUAGAUCUUAUGAUGCUUUCUCCUAUGGACUAAGACAGUCUCUCACCCUGAACAACUUUUUGAAGAAAUAAGCAUUGUGCAGGGUACUGACUUUCCUAACAUUGUUUUCUAGUGCCUAAUCAACCAGAGUUAACUGUGGCCUAUGAUAAUCAAUUAAGCCUUAAAGAUGAAGACGGGGAAAAAUUAUACAAUAAUAGUUACUUAGAAUCCUUACAUAUAGAGCAGAUAAAAAGAUUUUUUAGAUAGGCGUUCCAAUUUGUUUGAACUUUAAGUCUGGGAACCUGUUCUACUGAAAUCAGGUAAUGACUCAUAAGCUGACAAUGACUCAGAAAUUUUCUGUUACUUAGUGUGUAUAUAAAGUGGUCAGUAAACACUGAAUACAAUGGAGGACAAUGGAGGUCAGAAAUGAUUUAUCGAUAUUUGUAAUCUAUUACUUUAGAAGAAAAAUUGAAUGAAGGAAGAUGAAAUAUGGAAGGAAAAAAGGCGAAAAAGAGAGGGCAGGCAGGCAAGAGGCAAGGAUCAAGGAUGAGAUGGAUGGAUUGCUGGGAUAUUUUAGUUCUGAGACAACGUAGAUCUAUAAUAUACAAGAUGUGAUAAAAAUAUGAUGAAUGUGUGAAUUUAAAAAAUUAUUAUAGUAAUAGAUACAUUGCCAUUAUUACCUCUCAAAGUACUAAAAAUAUUCCCUCUCACUGUGCUCAUCCUUAUUCCAUUGUUCUUGGAUGUGUGUCUCUUACUGUAGUAACUGUUUUAAAAAAUGUAAACCUUCAUGAUAGAUUUUGAUCACUCCUUAUAUGAACAAGACAUAGAAGUCUUUAGAAUUCUUACUGACUCACAAUAUAGGGUUGAUUGAACCUAUUUUCUUUCUGUGCUUCUCCUAAAUUUCAUUUUUGUUGACAGUUUAAAUCCACACAGUUAUCACAAGCUGCAGUUUCAAAUGUUUUUAUAGAAUGAUAUUGCUAAAAUUAUUUGCUUUUUAUUAUUUCCAUUAAAGACUAUUGACCUUUUAUAUUAAAAUGUUUUGAACAUU